GGUCUUGUAGCUCAGUGGUAGAGCAUGCGAUUGCAGCUUGCAAAUUAUCGCAGGGUCCCGUGUUCGAACCACGGUAGGGCCU
rnacentral:tRNA from 1 species